UACGUAGGGUGCAAGCGUUGUCCGGAAUUAUUGGGCGUAAAGAGCUCGUAGGCGGUCUGUUGCGUCCGCUGUGAAAACUCGGGGCUUAACCCCGAGCCUGCAGUGGAUACGGGCAGACUAGAGGUAGGUAGGGGAGAAUGGAAUUCCCGGUGUAGCGGUGAAAUGCGCAGAUAUCGGGAGGAACACCGGUGGCGAAGGCGGUUCUCUGGGCCUUACCUGACGCUGAGGAGCGAAAAGCGUGGGGAGCGAACAGG
rnacentral:rRNA from 1 species